rnacentral:rRNA from 1 species
GGAAUUUCUGGUGUAGGGGUAAAAUCCGUAGAGAUCAGAAGGAAUACCGAUUGCGAAGGCGAUCUACUGGAACAUUACCGACGCUGAGAUGCGAAAGCGUGGGGAGCAAACAGGAUUAGAUACCCUGGUAGUCCACGCCCUAAACGAUGCACACUAGUUGUUGCUAUGCUAGACAUAGCAGUAAUGCAGUUAACACAGUAAGUGUGCCGCCUGGGGAGUACGGUCGCAAGAUUAAAACUCAAAGGAAUAGACGGGGACCCGCACAAGCGGUGGAGCAUGUGGUUUAAUUCGACGAUACGCGAAGAACCUUACCUGGCCUUGACAUAGAAAGAACUUUCCAGAGACGGAUUGGUGCUAGUUUACUAGAGCUUUCAUACAGGUGCUGCACGGCUGUCGUCAGCUCGUGUCGUGAGAUGUUGGGUUAAGUCCCGCAACGAGCGCAACCCUCGUGUUUAGUUACUAACAGUUCGGCUGAGGACUCUAAACAGACUGCCUGGGUAACCAGGAGGAAGGUGAGGACGACGUCAAGUCAUCAUGGCCCUUACGGCCAGGGCUACACACGUGCUACAAUGGGGUAUACAAAGAGCUGCAAUACGGUGACGUGGAGCAAAUCUCAUAAAAUAUCUCCCAGUUCGGAUUGAAGUCUGCAACUCGACUUCAUGAAGUUGGAAUCGCUAGUAAUCGUAGAUCAGCAAUGCUACGGUGAAUACGUUCCCGGGUCUUGUACUCACCGCCCGUCACACCAUGGGAAUUGAAUUCAUUCGAAGCGGGGAUGCUAAAAUAGCUACCUUCCACAGUGGAUUUAGU